AACGAACGCUGGCGGCAGGCUUAACACAUGCAAGUCGAGCGCCCCGCAAGGGGAGCGGCAGACGGGUGAGUAACGCGUGGGAAUCUACCGUACCCUACGGAAUAGCUCCGGGAAACUGGAAUUAAUACCGUAUACGCCCUACGGGGGAAAGAUUUAUCGGGGUAUGAUGAGCCCGCGUUGGAUUAGCUAGUUGGUGGGGUAAAGGCCUACCAAGGCGACGAUCCAUAGCUGGUCUGAGAGGAUGAUCAGCCACAUUGGGACUGAGACACGGCCCAAACUCCUACGGGAGGCAGCAGUGGGGAAUAUUGGACAAUGGGCGCAAGCCUGAUCCAGCCAUGCCGCGUGAGUGAUGAAGGUCUUAGGAUUGUAAAGCUCUUUCACCGAUGAAGAUAAUGACGGUAGUCGGAGAAGAAGCCCCGGCUAACUUCGUGCCAGCAGCCGCCGUAAAAC
rnacentral:rRNA from 1 species